rnacentral:lncRNA from 10 species
CCCGGGUUCACGCCAUCUUGCCACUAAACCUGAUUUACCAACAUAACCUGUUUCUGGCCAUGCUGUGAAUCUGCAUUCUUUACUGUGUCCUUGGGAUACUAGGUCUCUGAUCAAGUGCCACAUCUUUAGAGAAGCUUUUCCAAACAACCGAUUAUGAAGUACACAUUAACAAUGAAGCCUCUUUUCAAGUAAAGAAGCCUUCAAGCUCCAGAUAAUCCUCAGUGAGGUAUACUGUCCGCUCAAUAUCCAAGAGUCACCCUUCUACAAGGGACCUCUAGACUGCCCAUAAGUGAGACAUGACAGAGGAGAAGCCCUGGGAGAAUGCAGUCCACAGGGGUCUUUACAGUGUUCCAUAAUCAACUAUUUCUUGAACAAG